UCACAGAUGCGACGCAUCGUGUCCCGGA
rnacentral:sRNA from 1 species